AUUGAACGCUGGCGGCAUGCUCUACACAUGCAAGUCGAACGGUAACAGGCCGCAAGGUGCUGACGAGUGGCGAACGGGUGAGUAAUGCAUCGGAACGUGCCCAGUCGUGGGGGAUAACUACUCGAAAGAGUAGCUAAUACCGCAUACGAUCUAUGGAUGAAAGCGGGGGACCGUAAGGCCUCGCGCGAUUGGAGCGGCCGAUGUCAGAUUAGGUAGUUGGUGGGGUAAAGGCUCACCAAGCCAACGAUCUGUAGCUGGUCUGAGAGGAGGACCAGCCACACUGGGACUGAGACACGGCCCAGACUCCUACGGGAGGCAGCAGUGGGGAAUUUUGGACAAUGGGCGCAAGCCUGAUCCAGCAAUGCCGCGUGCAGGAAGAAGGCCUUCGGGUUGUAAACUGCUUUUGUACGGAACGAAACGGCUCUGGUUAAUACCCGGGGCUAAUGACGGUACCGUAAGAAUAAGCACCGGCUAACUACGUG
rnacentral:rRNA from 1 species